rnacentral:rRNA from 1 species
AGCAGCCGCGGUAAUUCCAGCUCCAAUAGCGUAUAUUAAAGUUGCUGCAGUUAAAAAGCUCGUAGUUGAAUUUCGGGACUAAUAUGUCGGUCGUGCCUCGGUACGUACUGGUUUAUUGGUUUCUCCUUUCUGAAGAACCAUGAUGUCAUUCAUUUGGUGUCGUGGGGAAUCAGGACUGUUACUUUGAAAAAAUUAGAGUGUUUAAAGCAGGCUCACGCUUGAAUACAUUAGCAUGGAAUAAUGAAAUAGGACGUUUGAUUCUAUUUUGUUGGUUUCUUAGGAUCGACGUAAUGAUUAAUAGGGAUAGUUGGGGGCAUUAGUAUUCAAUUGUCAGAGGUGAAAUUCUUGGAUUUAUUGAAGACUAACUACUGCGAAAGCAUUUGCCAAGGAUGUUUUCAUUAAUCAAGAACGAAAGUUAGGGGAUCGAAGACGAUCAGAUACCGUCGUAGU